rnacentral:misc_RNA from 1 species
AAACAUGACUUACCAAUUUACUAUCAGAUUGAGAUUGUAAGUGCUGAUGAAGAAGAAUUGCGAUCUAUUAUAAAAAUCUAUGGCUUCUUGAGGAAGAUCGGGAAUCUUCGCAAUUAUCAUAUAACGAAUCUCUCUCAAGGCAGUUUUUAAAGCAAAGUCGAAAUUCGUUUCCAGCUGUUGAUCCUCUCUAACGUUUAAAAGAGUUUUCGUUAAGUGGGUUUCCCAAAUUUCUGGCAAUUUCUCCGCCCAAGCGUACGUGUUCCAUUUUGUCAUUAAUUAAAGGAUGGUCGAUUAAUUUCAUGCACUCAAUUGGCAGAAGAGUUCUUUUACGAAGUCUCAUUAAAAAACACAGGGAUGCACUCACUACAGGUAAAUGCGAAUUCAGUGUCGAAAGCUCGUUGUCUUUUCCGGAAUUAAAAUUCUUGUCGAAUAACACCUACAAGACAAAAUGCUUAUCACUGAAAUGUUGAUCUACUCUUUGAAUUAUUUCUUCAUAAUUGUGCCAUAACUGGGCCAUUAUUAUAGGUCUGUUGGCAGUUACGCCCAUUAUCCAAACGAACUUAAAGAACGACUCUA